GGUGCAGAUGUCCCGGAGCUGGCAGGUCCCCCCCACAGGGCUGUGGGGACAGGGUGACAUCCCCCAGUGGGGACUGUCCCCAACAGUGGGGACCUCAAUAGCCGGGAGGAACGGACCUCCCUAGGGGACAGUUGGGGGGGUUGCUGAGUGUGGUGUCACCACAAGGCAGCAGUGUCACUGAUGUCACUGCAUGGCCCCCGGUGUCAUUGUCCCUGUGUGAGCCCCGGGGUGUGGCACAGUGUCACCAUCACUGUAGGGACCCCAGUGUCACGGGUGUCACUGUUCCUGCAUGGUCCCCAGGGUGUGGCAUGGUGUCAUUGUCACUGCAUUGCCUUGUGUCACGGUGUCACCGUUCCUGCAUGGUCCCUGUGGUUGUGCAUGGUGUCACUGUCACUGCACAGCCCUGUAUCACGGUGUCACCAUCCCUCCAUGGUCCCUGGGGUGUGGCGUGGUGUCACUGUCACUGCACGGCCCCUGAAGCGUCACACAGUGUCACCACAGCUGCACGGUCCCACUCGUGUCACACACUGCUGCUGCACAGCCCCGCGCUACUGCACAGCAUCACUGUUGCUCCCUGGGGUGUCACAUGGUGUCACUGUCACCGCGCAGUGCACAGGGUGUCACUGUCACCGCGGGGCCGACGGUUGCCACGCAGUGUCACUGCAGCUCCCGUGGGUUGUCACACAGAGUCACCAUCAGUGCCUGGCGCAUGGGAUGUCACAUAGUGCUAUGUCACCGCAUGGCCCAUGGGGUGUCACCCGGUGUCACCGUCACUGCCGUCCCGCAGUGUAUCACCCAGCCUCGCUGUCACUGCAUGGCCCACGGGAUGUCACCCAGUGUCACCGUCACUGCACGGCCCGGGGUGUCACACGCUGGCACUGUGCGGGAUACCCCCGAGGGCCACCCCCCGCACGUCCCACGGGCUGACACCCGGUGUCACUGCACACCCCCUGGGCUGUGUCACACCCUGGCCGUGGGACACCCUGGGGACGGCACAGCGGGUCCCCGCUCCUCCCGACCCCCCGUCCCCCUGGGGGGACACGUCCCCCAGCCCGUCCCCACGGCCGGUGGCUGCUGCCAGGCGAGCAGCCACUUCCCAUCAC
rnacentral:lncRNA from 1 species